rnacentral:ncRNA from 1 species
UUAACAACAAGGAAAGAGGAAAGUAAUCUUUACUGAAGUUUACAGAGAGCCGGGAGUGCUGGAAACCGGUAACUAAGGUUAUGAUGAAGUUCCCUCUGGAGUUGUCCACUGAAAGAUAAGUAGGUGUGACCGGAAGCUUCCGCCGUUACUUGGAAGGGAAUAUUAAAAUAAGCUUUGCUUAUUGCGUAUUCUUCAGCAAAGUGGGCUUUUCAUUUAGCCAACUAAGGUGGUACCGCGGGUAAUUCCCCCGUCCUUAUA